rnacentral:rRNA from 1 species
UAGGGAGGGUGCGAGCGUUAAUCGGAAUUACUGGGCGUAAAGGGCGCGUAGGCGGUGGGUUACGUCUGCCGUGAAAUCCCCGGGCUCAACCUGGGAAUGGCGGUGGAAACGGGCUGACUGGAGUAUGGGAGAGGGUGAUGGAAUUCCAGGUGUAGCGGUGAAAUGCGUAGAGAUCUGGAGGAACACCAGUGGCGAAGGCGGUCACCUGGCCCAAUACGGACGCUGAGGCGCGACAGCGUGGGGAGCAAACAGG